UACAGAGGUCUCAAGCGUUGUUCGGAUUCAUUGGGCGUAAAGGGUGCGUAGGUGGCGCGCUAAGUCAGGUGUGAAAGCGCGGGGCUCAACCCUGCGUCGGCCAUGAAUACUGCCGCGGCUGGAGCACUGUAGAGGCAGGCGGAAUUCCGGGUGUAGCGGUGGAAUGCGUAGAGAUCCGGAAGAACACCGGUGGCGAAGGCGGCCUGCUGGGCAGUUGCUGACACUGAGGCGCGACAGCGUGGGGAGCAAACAGG
rnacentral:rRNA from 1 species